rnacentral:rRNA from 1 species
GACGAACGCUGGCGGCGUGCUUAACACAUGCAAGUCGAACGGAAAGGCCUGCUUUCCCUUGUGGCUUGCGGGUACUCGAGUGGCGAACGGGUGAGUAACACGUGAGUGCUCUGCCCCCAACUUGGGUAUAAGCCUGGGAAACUGGGUCUAAUUCCCGAUAGGACUUCAGGGUGGUGCCUGUGGUGGAAAACGUUUUUCUAGUGUUUGGGGAUGAGCUCGCGGCCUAUCAGCUUGUUGGUGGGGUAAUGGCCUACCACGGCGGCGACGGGUAGCCGGCCUGAGAGGGUGGACGGGCGCAUUGGGACAGGGCUACGGCCCAGACGGCUGCGGGAGGCAGCAGUGGGGAAUAUUGGACAAUGGGCGGAAGGCUGAUGCAGCGACGCCGCGUGGGGGAUGGCGGCCUUCGGGUUGUAAGCUCCUUUCGACCGCGAGGAAGCCACCUGGUUGGAAGGGUGGUGACGGUAGUGGUAGAGGAAGCACCGGCUAACUACGUG